GGCAGACCAAGGGGAAAGCCCUUUUCUGUUUCCAUCAAGACACACCUGGCAAUGGAUGUGACAUUCAGCACUGCCCAGGUUUCUUCCACUUGGAGGAGGCAAACUGGUGAAUGGAAGGAGGCAAUCCUCUGGCAGUGGGAUGCUAGGGGGAGAUAAUAAGGCAAGUUUGCUUGCUUGAAGGCUGCUGGUAUCUGUGAGUAGAAGCUGGCAGACGUCUCAUGAUGGACCUAACAGUUGCUUCUGGCACAAUGGGACACCGUGACGGGAACCAGAGCGCACGGAAAUGCCGUUUCCCUUCCUGAUGCAGAGGUACCUAUUUAUCUACUUGCACUGGCAUGCUUUCAAACUGCUAGGUUGGCAGGAGCUAGGACAGAGCAACAGGAGCUCACCCGUUGCAGGGAUUCAAACCGCCAACCUUCUGAUCAGCAAGCCCAAGAGGCUCAGUUGUUUAGACCACAGCGCCACCCAUGUCCCUAUGUAUCUGUGUAUCUCUAUAUCUAUCUAUCUACCUAAAUGUAAGAAUCAAUGGAUGGAUGGAUGGAUGGAUGGAUGUAGAUAUAUUUAUGUGUUCUCUUUGCUUUCAACAGAUUUAGGCUGAAAAGGAGCAUGUGCACUGAAAGUUAACAGCUGAGCAAACUUUUUAAAAAAUGAUGAAUUACUCCACAUUUACCGAUAGCGAGGUCAUCGGAAGGCACUUCCUCUUUAACUGCCAAAUGACACAUUGCUGUUCUGAAUGCUCGUGUAUCCCAUGUGACCCACUUGGCGUAACCAAAAUGAAGGAGAGCAGCUGGAGAGAGCCGAAGGAAGGGAGGAUGUGGUUACUACUCGGAGGAAGAGAAAGCAAACAUUAAAAAA